rnacentral:rRNA from 1 species
AUGCACAUGGUUGCAUUUAAAGCCAAUGAUAAUCUGAAAGAUGUUGUUGAUAAGCCAUCUUCUUCGAGAACCAUGCUUACUGAGUACUUCGAAAUGAAUCGAAAGAAUCCUUAUGCACGACAAUGGCUGUACAGAGAUUUUCCAGAACACUUUAGAUGGGAUGCAUCAAAGAAGAGAUGGUAUAAAAGAAAACAAAGGCCACCGAUUGGUAGAAUUGUGUAUGCACACCCUGCUGAGGAGGAGAGGUACUAUUUGCGGGUGCUCUUGAAUCAUGUCCGAGGUGUAACAUCAUAUGAUGAUUUGAAAAAGGUGCGAGCCAUUACGUGCUCUACUUUCAAAGAGGCGUGUGAACAAUUAGGAUUAAUUGAGCAUGACAAAUCACUUGAUCACUGCCUGACUGAAGCUACCACAUUUCAGAUGCCUCGUGCUCUUAGACGCUUGUUUGCCACAAUCUUAAUAUUUUGUGAGGUUACAAAAAUCCAAGAGUUGUGGGACAAACACCUGGAGUCGAUGUCUGAGGAUUACCGACGUUCCCAGCCCAACGAGGCAAUACUUGAGCAGAUGGUCCUUAGAGACAUCAGGGAUUUGCUGCAUUCCAUGGGGAAGAAUAUUAAAACCUAUGGCCUUCCCGAGCUGGUUGAUACAAAUGCUUUUCUAGGCGAUGAGUGCAUGCAGCUUAGAGAGGAGAGGGAGAUCGAUGUGGACCAAGAACAUAUUGACUUAUCAACUCUUUAA